rnacentral:lncRNA from 1 species
GGCCACCGCGCAGCAUGGUGGGGUCCCUCCCCGACCUCACAGACGAGAGCGAGGGAGCCUCUGCUGCUGGGGGCCUGCCCUGGGGCCUCACGCCGCCCCAGCGUCGCCACUGACAAAGCCUCAGACAUCCAGCGACGUGGGCUCUGAGUCCAGGGUGCGGGGCCGUCAGACAUUUCAGCUGCAUCUUCACAUUCGUUUGUGCCCACGGUCAGCAGAGUCCUCGGGAGGCCGGGGCCUGAGUCACCCCUGGCCCGGGGGAGGACGCCCUGGGCAGGCCCUGGCUCACCCCUCCCGCACCGCACACCCCUCGGCGCACCUGCCAUCUGCACCUGCCUCCUCCAAAUCCCACCGCUGACUCCCCCCCACCCCACCGAGGGCCUAGAUAAACGCAUCUGCGAGCCCUCGGCCCACGCAGAGGGUGUUGGAUGUUGCACAGAUGUUCCCCCAAGACAAACGGUCAUGAAAGAGGAAAAAAUAAUCAUAUAAGUGAACGAAAGGAAAUUGCAGCAAAACCUAAAGUUCCUGGAGAUGAAGGUGGAAAACAGGUAGUUGGAGAGCAGCUGUCCUCAGCACGCUGGCCGGAGCUCGCUGGCGCCGUGACUCGUGAGGGGACUGCACCUGGAGCCCAGGAUCUCCCCACAAAAUAUUAUCUACAAAGGGAAAAACAAGCCGUGGUGACCUAGAGAACCGGACGGAUGCCGACUUGCUCCGUGACGGUGCCAAGACCACCAGGAGGCGACUCCUCCAGACGCGCCUGGUGUUUCUUCUGACUCGAGGCUCAUCCCAGAAAUCUCAGCUCACCCAGUGCAGCUCAAAGAUAAUAGGGCUUCGAGAGGAACUGUCCUUGGGGUAACAGGCUCUGGGGAGGCUGGUCCUUGGGGUAACAGCCUCUGGGGAGGCUGGUCCUUGGGGUAAUAGCCCUUUGGGGAGGCUGGUCCU